rnacentral:lncRNA from 1 species
AAAUAACUAAGGAAACACGACAUAAAUGCACAAGAACAAGCCAACUAAGUCGCAUAAAUAUGCUCCUAUCAAUUAUAUCAAUCCCUAAUUAUAGACAAAAGAUGCUAGGAAGUUUCUCAUAUGAUGAUAAACUUCAAUUAGAAGGACGACUCUAGUGAGACUAGCAAGUUGCCCUUCUCAAAGGGAACGUACCCUUUGACUCCCAAAGAAAUAAUGCGUAAAUAGAAUCCUUUAUGCAUACGUAGAAAGGUGAUUUAUGUAUUUCAUAUUGUAUGAAAAACAUUGAUAUGAGUUGUACCUAGAAAGGUACAAGACGAUAUCAGUGCAAGCCCAGGAUCAGAACCAAGGCAACUGUCAAGUGAGUCCUUGAGUAUUUAAGAAAUACUAAAGGAUAGAUUCCUCAAAGAAUGAGGAAGAAUUAGAGUAACGAAUGGAAGCGUUAAUGUAUUAGAUUAUGAAUCUAAUCCAUCAUUGGAUGUUUCUUCAUUAUGAAUGAAGAGAUAAUCAGAUAUCUCUUUAUUAUGACUAAAAAAGAUAUUUGGAUGGAAACAUUAAAAGUAAUGACUUUAGUGUGUUCCAUUGUGAAUGCAAAAUAUAUUGCCAUAUAGAAGCUUACAACAAUGUUGUUUGGAUGGGAAAGUACAUUUAUGAACUCUUUAUUCGGUUCCAACCAGAAAGUGUCUCUAGUGUACCAACACUACGACACUAAUGGGGCGAUAGCUCAAGCCAGGGAAUCAAGGUCUCAUCACGAUCCGAACUCAAAUGAGAGACUGAACCACAUGAUUGAGAAUCAUGUAUGAUGGUGACGUCGUUAUUCUCAAGGUUGCUUCUAUGGAUAACAUAUAUAUAUAUCCAUUGUCUAGGCCUACUACUCAACCAUUUUUGAAAUGACUACAGAAGAGGUAUCAUCACUGAUGACCAAGCUAAUUGGCUCUAGUGCAAGUGGGAGAUUGUUGGAAAUGUGCCCUAAAACCAAUCAUGUGAUGAUACUUUAUGGACAUUUCACAUGUUAAACUAAUCUAGUUUAAUAUCAAGGGCAAAGAUUAUUGUUUUAAGCCGUCUCAUAUAAAUGUUAUAUGCUUAAACGAUAAGUCCAAGGAAUAUGUAAUUAGGAGAAUGUAAUUUAAAGAAGUUAGAUUCAUGAGACCAUUCUUUUUCGUAUACAUAUCUUAAACGUUCUUGAUCAUAGGAUUGCCAAUUGGGCAUUGACAGUCCAUUAAGAUCAGUAUGUGCUAUGUCUUCUCUUAGUGAGACUGACUGGUCUCAAGUCAUUGGUGUGACUGACACCAAGACAAGUACGUAGGUGCUCAAUAAGGAAUGAGUUCACUGAACACGAUAACCGAAGAGUUCUCAUACUCAUGUCACAUGAGAACUCAUGGUUGGGAUAAUGCAAAGUAGUCAUUUGACCUGAGGCAUCAUAGUUGUCUUGUGGUUAGGUUCUUGAUCUUUGAUUAUGUCAAAGUCACUCCAUUCGCGGGUGUCCACGACAUAGUUGGGGUUAAGCCACUUAGCCAUGAAGGCAAGUGAAUGCGCAACAAGGGAUCUCUAACCUUCAAACCGUUUGAGGGAGAAUACUCUAUGAUA